rnacentral:tRNA from 1 species
AAGAAUUUAAGUUAAAUAAACUUUUAACCUUCAAAGUUAAAUAUAGAACUAAUAUUCUAAUUCUUA